GUGAGUCCAGGGUGCAGGCAGGGUUGAGCCCACCUGGAUGAGGUGCUUGAGUCCAUCAUCUCAGUGAAGACGGGGUGAUGUUAGUGAGCAUGUACAGUCUUCCCUCAGUAUCCCUGAGGGAUUUGUUCCAGGAUUCCCCAGAGAUACCAAACUCCUCAGAUGCUCAAGUUCCUUAUGGUAUAAGAUGGUGCAGUGAGGUCAACCCUCCUAUUUGCGGUUCCACAUGAGCAGAUUCAACCAACUGCAGAUGGAUCUGGUUGGUUGACUUGCAGGCUGCAGAAUUCCUGAAUACAAAGGGCCAACUGUGUGUUAUAGAAGAGAAAAAAGCUGACCCAGCCCACCCCGCAUUCUCCUAGAGGGGAAUACUUUGAAUGGCGCUUGUCACCAAUGUGCUUAAGUCCAAAGCCAGGGAGUCCUCCUCCUUUUCCCUUCCUUUAGUGAUGCUGACCCGGUUGUUUACCAGAGCCAAGGAGGAAGGACCAGCUGGCUCUGCCCUGAUGCUGCACAGCUCAUGACGGAUGGAUUCCAGCCCUACUUAUCCUCCCUGUCCUGUGGGGCCCAAGGCAGGUUGAUAUGGAAAGAUGGACAUUUACAUCUGAGCAUGUCAGAGAGAAGUCAGAAGCCUAAAGAAACUUGCAGGGAUAUUUGCAACCUAGUUCCUGACAAGAUGGAAAGAUGAACACAGGAUCCUUCCCUGUCAUGGCUUCGCUCAUAGUAGACACUCAAUAAAU
ensembl:lncRNA